UUUCCAGAGUGGCUGCACCAGCUUGCAUUCCCACCAACAGUGCAGGAGGGUUCCCCUUUCUCCGCAUCCUCGCCAGCAUCUGUCAUUUCCUGACUUGUUGAUUUUAGCCAUUCUGACU